UAUUCCCCACUGCUGCCUCCCGUAGGAGUCUGGGCCGUAUCUCAGUCCCAAUGUGGCCGUUCAACCUCUCAGUCCGGCUACUGAUCGCAGACUUGGUGGGCCGUUGCCCCGCCAACUAUCUAAUCAGACAUGAGCCCAUCCCAGAGCGAUAAAUCUUUGGUCACCAGAAGAUGCCUUCCGGUGACAUCAUGCGGUAUUAGCAGCCGUUUCCAGCUGUUGUCCCCCUCUCCAGGGCAGGUUGCUCAUGCAUUACUCACCCGUCCGCCACUAAGUCAAAGUUUCAAUCGACCGAAGUCUCUUUCCACAGUGCUUCGUUCGACUUGCAUGUGUUAGGCACGCCGCCAGCGUUCAUCCUGAGCCAA
rnacentral:rRNA from 1 species